rnacentral:rRNA from 1 species
CGGCGGACGGGUGAGUAACACGUGGAUAACCUACCUAUAAGACUGGGAUAACUUCGGGAAACCGGAGCUAAUACCGGAUAAUAUAUUGAACCGCAUGGUUCAAUAGUGAAAGACGGUUUUGCUGUCACUUAUAGAUGGAUCCGCGCCGCAUUAGCUAGUUGGUAAGGUAACGGCUUACCAAGGCAACGAUGCGUAGCCGACCUGAGAGGGUGAUCGGCCACACUGGAACUGAGACACGGUUCAG